GUGAAACUAUCCUGAGGAAAAUGAAGCCCUCAAAGAGCGAGGGAGAGUUGGCCUCAGGAAUCUCUCUCUCUCUCUCUCUCUCACACACACACACUGGACACAAUAUUUCAUAUGUCCUAAAGCAGCACCACAGACGCACAUUGCUUGUCAGCCCAGUCUGAGUAUGAAUGGCACCACACUGGAUGAUUCCAGCAACUCGCAGGCUGGGGCGCCUUAGAAUAACAGAAUGAGAUGUUUGGUAUCUGCUGAGAUGGCAGCUGAUGCCUCCAGACGGGAUUUAUACAGCUUGGUUUGCCCAUAGGGCUGGAACGCUCCUGUUGGGAGGGACAUGUGAUCAGCAAUGUUUUCUCCAUUCAGACUUCAUGCACCUCACCCACAGCUGAAGCGUUCAGAGGUCUCUUUCCUGCCUGUCUAGAACAUUUCCAAACAGCCCCUCACCCUGGUCUUCAGGUACUGAUGAAGGGGAAGCAGCCAUUGAUUUUUAGUCAGUCAGGUCUAUCCACAAAUUACAACCCCACUGGCAUUUUUAACAGAUUCCUUUUAAUCAGCACAAGGGUGAAAUUCAGCCCUGUGCAGAGGGCCAGCCUACAAACACCCUCAAACGAUGGGUUUAGUAGCUCGUUUCACCCUUACAGGGUAAGCUAAACUGUGCCCACAAACAGGACCAUGAGCUCAUCAAUCAACUGUCUUCUGUCUUUAACCUUGCUAGAGUUCAGAUUUCUGGAACCAGGAUAGUGGCAGGUGAGUGUGCCUGGGGUGGGAGCCUGACAUGUCUCUGAUGUGUUCAGAAACCUGCAGGAAUUGGAUACUUUCACCAGUGGCAAGAAUUUUUUCCGCCCAGCUCCUUGACUUACAAUAGGCAAAAUGCAGGUGGCUACAAUCACACUAGGGCCAGUGGCAAAAGUACCGCGAGCGAGGCACUGUGCUCCAGUGAAUAGAGCACUGGGCCGCGACUCAAUGCCUGGGUUCAGUCCUGACCCGCUGAGAGGCCUUGGGCAAGUCUCUCUGCCUCUUCUCCUCCCAGCCCUUCCCUAUUCAGAGUGUAAGUUCUGCAGAUCCUGUCCCUCGCUGUGCAUUUGUACAGCUUCUAGCACAACCAAGUCCCCAUCUCCACUGGGACCAUUAGAUGCUACUCCAGUACAAAUCAUCACCAUAUGGGAGUAUUUUGAAGUUUGGCUCAGGCUGGAUGGCAUAAAAUAAACCAUGGGUGUGGCAGAGGAAUUGCCCCCAAGCAACUGUGCCUGCACUGGGCUGGUAGGGACAGAAAACAUUGUUGGUUGCUUGUUCUCCUCUGCGGUAGGUAUCUGGCUAAGUGACGGCAGACUACUCCAGAUGAAGUAGACUACUCCAGAUGGGCCUCCAACAAGCUAGACAAAAGCUCAGCCAGUAACUUAAAUAACUCUUUAUAAGGGAGACUGUUAAUUUAGUCUAAAUUCUUCAUUUUUUUUUAUGUCCCCUAAAUCACACACUCUGUAAUUCAAUCUCAGCAUAGCCCACUAGUGUAAUAAAAUGAUUUCCCUUUGAGACUGAGCAGUUCCAGCUCAAAUGCCCUAAAAGUGAUAAUUUGAUUAAUAAAAUGGUAAAAUUUGCAGUACUGAAGGGUGUUUCAACUCAAAAUCAAUCACACUAUAUCUAUUAAUCAGUGCUGGAUUCAUUGAAUGCAUUGUUGAACUCAUUGAAAACUGUGUUAGUAAAAUUAAAUAAUUAGUAAGAUUAAUGCUGUUCCAGAGCUAUAAUCUGGGCAGAAACCAGAUUGAUUCGAGUUAAUUAUCUUCUGCCCGCUUAAAUAAUUUGUGCACUGUUUUCCCCACUAUCUAUGAACAGAAAACAUGCAAAACGGGAUCUCUCCCUCCUCUGUUUAUAAGAGGGAGUGAAGAUGGUCUUGUGGUGAAGGACUGGAGAGGGACUCCAGAGAGCUGGAGUUUUUCUGUGUGAGCUGGGGCUAGUCACUUAAUUUAUCCGUGCCUCAGUUUCCCCAUCCAAAAAUUAGGGGUAAUGAUACUUCCCCACCUCACAGGAGCAUUAUAUGAAUAAAUAAACUGCUCAGAUACUAGAGUAAUAGGGCCCCGGAGGUAUCUAGGAUAGAUCAAUUUGAAAUGCUACACUAGAAUUUCUGAGUAUGCUCCCUCUUCUUCUCUUAAGCGUAUGUUUGUUACAAAUAUUAUAGCAGUAUGUUUUUUAACAGUGUUUUAAUGAUUCUGGGAUCAUCUGGGACAAACCUAGGCCAUACGAAGCAAAAUAUAAUGUUCCAGCUAGUUCUCCUCUCUCCUCCAAUCUCUAAUACACCCUCAUGGUACUA